GACGAACGCUGGCGGCGUGCUUAACACAUGCAAGUCGAACGGAAAGGCCCUGCUUUUGUGGGGUGCUCGAGUGGCGAACGGGUGAGUAACACGUGAGUAACCUGCCCUUGACUUUGGGAUAACUUCAGGAAACGGGGGCUAAUACCGGAUAGGAUCUCCUGCUGCAUGGUGGGGGUUGGAAAGUUUCGGCGGUUGGGGAUGGACUCGCGGCUUAUCAGCUUGUUGGUGGGGGAGUGGCGUACCAAGGCUUUGACGGGUAGCCGGCCUGAGAGGGUGACCGGCAAAAGUGGGACUGAGAUACGGCCGAGACUGAUACGGGAGGCAGCAGUGGGGAAUAUUGCACAAUGGGCGGAAGCCUGAUGCAGCAACGCCGCGUGCGGGAUGACGGCAUUCGGGUUAUAAACCGAUUUCGCCUGUGACGAAGCGUGAGUGACGGUAAUGGGUAAAGAAGCACCGGAUAACUACGUG
rnacentral:rRNA from 1 species